CAUGAGUCAGUUUAUACAUUCAUCUGAUCACUAGAGGGAGUGAAGAAUCACUUCAGUUCAUUCAAACUGUGCUGUGAAACAAACCAUGAUCUCUUCAUCUUUACUGUUGCUUCUGGCAGUGAUAUCCUGUAUUGAUUCAUAUGAACUCACUCAGCCUGAGUCUCUGACUGUCCGUCCUGAUGCCACUCUCACUAUCAACUGUAAAGUCUCAUAUUCAGUUACUGACUAUGCUACAGCUUGGAUUCGUCAGCCUGCAGGAAAAGCUCUGGAGUGGAUUGGAUUAAUUGAUGAUGAUGAAAGCUUAUACUACAAGGAUUCACUGAAAAGCAAGUUCAGUAUCACCAGAGACACUUCCAGUAACACAAUAACACUGCAAGGAAAGAAUAUGAAAGCUGAAGACACAGCUGUGUAUUAUUGUGCCAGAGAAACACAGUGACAGACGCCAACAGA